CCUACGGGAGGCAGCAGUGGGGAAUAUUGGGCAAUGGAGGAAACUCUGACCCAGCGACGCCGCGUGCGGGAUGAAGGCCUUCGGGUUGUAAACCGCUUUCAGCAGGGAAGAAGCGAAAGUGACGGUACCUGCAGAAGAAGCACCGGCUAACUAUGUGCCAGCAGCCGCGGUAAUACAUAGGGUGCAAGCGUUGUCCGGAAUUAUUGGGCGUAAAGAGCUCGUAGGUGGUUCGUCACGUCGGAUGUGAAAAUCUGGGGCUUAACCCCAGACCUGCAUUCGAUACGGGCGAGCUUGAGUAUGGUAGGGGAGUCUGGAAUUCCUGGUGUAGCGGUGGAAUGCGCAGAUAUCAGGAGGAACACCAAUGGCGAAGGCAGGACUCUGGGCCAUUACUGACACUGAGGAGCGAAAGCGUGGGGAGCGAACAGGAUUAGAUACCCUGGUAGUCCACGCCGUAAACGGUGGGCACUAGUUGUGGGGACCUUCCACGGUCUCUGCGACGCAGCUAACGCAUUAAGUGCCCCGCCUGGGGAGUACGAUCGCAAGAUUAAAACUCAAAGGAAUUGACGG
rnacentral:rRNA from 1 species